rnacentral:misc_RNA from 1 species
GCAAACUUGGUCAUUUAGAGGAAGUAAAAGUCAUAACAAGGUUUCCGUAGGUGAACCUGCGGAAGGAUCAUUACAGUGUUUUGUUGUGGCCUGCCCUCCCGAGGGCAGUGCCCCGAAACCCCACCCUUGAUUACUGUACCGUCCGUUGCUUCGGCGGGCCGCGCCCGCCGGAGGACAAUCUGAACUCUUUGUGAUAUUCGGCCGUCUGAGUGAUUUUUGAAUCGUUAAAACUUUCAACAAUGGAUCUCUUGGUUCCGGCAUCGAUGAAGAACGCAGC